CCCUUAGAUGUUCUGGGCCGCACGCGUGCUACACUGAGUGGAUCAGCGGGUCAGGUUGCGCGAAAGCGUUUCCUAAUCUUUAAAUCCGCUCGUGAUGGGGAUUGACGGUUGCAAUUUUCUGUCAUGAACGAGGAAUACCUUGUAAGCGCAAGUCAUCAACUUGCAUUGAUUACGUCCCUGCCCUUUGUACACACCGCCCGUCGCUCCUACCGAUUGAGCGGUCCGGUGAAGACUCAGGAGAUGGGCGCGUGCUUGGUUCGCCAACUGCGCUGCCUGCCAAAUUUGUCUAAACCUUAUCGCUUAGAGGAAGGAGAAGUCGUAACA
rnacentral:rRNA from 1 species